rnacentral:rRNA from 1 species
AAUGAACGUUGGCGGCGUGGAUUAGGCAUGCAAGUCGAGCGUGUACCCCGCAAGGGGAAAGCGGCAAACGGGGUAGGAACGCGUAGGUCACGUACCCUUCGGCCGGGGAUAGCCACGGGAAACUGUGGGUAAUACCCGAUGACGCCGAGAGGCCAAAGGUGUGAUUCCGCCGGGGGAGCGGCCUGCGUAGUAUUAGCUAGUUGGUGAGGUAAUGGCUCACCAAGGCGAAGAUGCUUAGGGGGUGUGAGAGCAUGACCCCCACCACUGGGACGUGAGAUACUGCCCACGACACCUACGGGUGGCAGCCUGAGAGCCAAGGCACACAGGGGAUAGG